UUGAGUUUCUAUAUCCUUAGUAGGAGCCAUGCUUCCACUAAAGACUUAGAUAAUUCUUAUAUGACUACAUUAAAGGUCUUAGUAUGACUAAAACUUGAAGUAGUAUGGUGUAUGACACCAUAUAAUUUAAAUGAAUAGACUUGAUAAACCAAGUCACACAUUUCAUGGAAUUGCUUGAGAAGGAAUUCUUUUAUGUAUGAUUCAUUUAAAUUAAGUGGGAGCAAUAUGCAUUCAAAUCAAGAAAAUAUAAUUGUUAAUUUUUGAAUGAAUGCUAAGUUACAACAAGGCCAGUGGGAGUGAUGUCAUAAUUUGAGCAACAAGAUGUGAAUAAAGUCUAUUUGAUAGACUUGAUGAAACAUAGAUGUUACUCGAAAAAUGACAAAACAUGACACGGUCAAUUUUGAAGUAUAGACUUGAAAUUGGACUUACUGAUAUAGCAAGGCUAUCUCAAUAAUGUUAUAUGGGAAAUUAAAUCUCAAAUGUUGAAGAUUUAAGAAAGCAUUUUCCUAUGUGAUAGGAAAACACUUUCAUAACCCUUAUAAUGAAUGUGUCAUAAAAUCACAAAAGGGACACAUGUAUUGACUUGUGAAGUAGAUAUCCAAAGGUGAAGAAACCACUGAGUUUAUCACUUUAAGAUAUUACUAUAUCCCAGGAUCAGAACCAAAGCAACUGAUAGAGUAUUAUUGCCUUUAAGAAAGAAACAUCAGAGUGGGACUCUGGAAGCGUGCAUUAACUUAGGUUGUUAAACCAAAGUGAAAAUAAGCCAUUUUAACAAAUGGAACUUCAUAAUGGAUGAAGUACUAAUCAUAUGAAUGAAUUGUUAGUAAUCAUAUGAAUGAAUUGUUAGUAUUGUACUGCAAUGGUCUCAAGGUUGGAGCAAAGCUUGUAUAAAGUAUACAAAUGAAAUAUAUGUCGAUAUAUAGUUUUAGAAACUGCUUCAAAAGGUGUUUUGAAUGGAAGGGGUUCUUUUAGAACCAAUGAUUGAAUCCAAACCAUAAGGUCGUUAGUAGAGUACUACGAC
rnacentral:lncRNA from 1 species